rnacentral:rRNA from 1 species
AUUGAACGCUGGCGGCAGGCCUAACACAUGCAAGUCGAGCGGAGCGGCGGACGGGUGAGUAAUGCCUAGGAAUCUGCCUGGUAGUGGGGGAUAACGUCCGGAAACGGGCGCUAAUACCGCAUACUAUCAGAUGAGCCUAGGUCGGAUUAGCUAGUUGGUGGGGUAAAGGCCUACCAAGGCGACGAUCCGUAACUGGUCUGAGAGGAUGAUCAGUCACACUGGAACUGAGACACGGUCCAGACUCCUACGGGAGGCAGCAGUGGGGAAUAUUGGACAAUGGGCGCAAGCCUGAUCCAGCCAUACCGCGUGGGUGAAGAAGGCCUUCGGGUUGUAAAGCCCUUUUGUUGGGAAAGCGGUACCCAAAGAAUAAGCACCGGCUAACUUCGUGCCAGCAGCCGCGGUAAUUC